GUCUUUUUGAGGUUAAUUAAAAGUCUGGUCUGCCCAAUGUAUAUGAAUGGCCGCGGUAUUUUGACCGUGCUAAGGUAGCAUAAUGAAUAGUCUAUUAAUUGUGGUCUGGAAUGAAAGAUUUGACGGGGAGUCUCUUUCUUAGACUUAUUUCUGAAUUUAAAUUAUCAGUAAAAAUGCUGAUAUGAUGAAGAAGGACGAGAAGACCCUAUAGAGCUUUACAUAGUGGAUCAUUUUUGUGGGACUAGUGAAAGAUGUUUUGUUGGGGCGACAUUAGAUUGAAACAUCUAAUUGAAAGUCUUUAUAUAAGGUAUAAUGAUCCAAUAUUAUUGAUUAAAGACUAAGUUACCUUAGGGAUAACAGCGUAAUUUUAUUUUAGAGUUCUUAUCGACAAUAAAGAUUGCGACCUCGAUGUUGGAUUAAAAUUCCUUUAAGGCGUAGUAGUUUUAAAAGGUAGUCUGUUCGACUAUUAAAAUUUUACAUGAUCU
rnacentral:rRNA from 1 species